CUUAUGGAAGAUAAUAAACUUAGCCGUGUGUAUAUUUGGUGGUGGAAUCUCGUUUUCUUUGAACACGAUGAUCAUCAUUGAAAUAAUGGGCACAGACAUGCUGCUGCCGGUAAUAGGGUUGUGCGGCAUGAUCAGCGCUGUGUGGCACCUUGCUAUGGGGCCUCUGCAAGGUGUGGUUACUGACACGUACGGGAGCUACAACGCCGGAUUGUUCUUUCUGGCUGGUCUUCACAUCUUCAGCCUCUUGCUGUGGGUUCUUAUGCCCAUUGCAGAUACUUAUUGCCAAAGGCGUCCCAGUCAUGCACAUCACCAAGAACACCAUUUUUCCCUAAAGCAGCUUGAGCAUGCAGCAGCAGCACCAGCACCAGCAGCAGCAGCAGCAGCAGCAGCAGCAGCAGCAGCAGCAGCAGCAGCAACAACAACAACAACAACAACAACAACAACAACAACAACAACAACAACAACAACAACAACAACAACAACAACAACGAGAGAAAAUUUCUCCCUUUUACACCGAGCAGAAACAUGCCCUGCUGGAUAUGCCUCUGUGGUGCAUUAAAAGAAAACACACACACACACACACACACACACACACACACACACACACACACAUAUGCGGCGUAAUAUAUUGCUUAGCACACUCGGUUCACAACCAAGGUUCGAGUCCCAGGCAAGACAAAUGGGUGAGCUUCUUAAAACAUAUAGCCCUUGUUCAUCUUGUAGCAAGUAGGUCCGGGAUGUAAAUCAAGGGAUUGUGACCUCGCUGUUCCAGUGUGUGGUGUCUCAGUCCUACCCGAAGAUCGGUCAGUAUGUGCUGUGAACUCUUUCCUUAGGCUUAGGGGAAAGACUGGCUGGGUGUCCAGCAGACAUCCGAGGUAAUCACACACACACACACACACACACACACACACACACACACACACACACACACACACACACACACACACACACACACACACACACACACACACACACUUGUACGUCAUGUAAAUACGCUGUAUAAUGAAUAUUCACCUGAUAGAAUUAUGACACCUGUAAAUGUAUACCAUACUUUUAUUUAUCGUUUUGACUUUGUUAGUCGUAUGAAUGACGCUUUCCUAAGGGUAAGCUCUGCGCAAUGCACUCAUUGAAGAAGACACUGUAUGAAGUGAAGGCACGACAGUCAAACAGGAUUGAGAGACGCACUCACUUAUCUAUACAAAAGACUGUGAUGAUCCUGUUUUGAAGACGAAUAUCCUUCAUUCAGGGGAACAGGCAGGACAUUUAGGUUCAUUAUGUGAACAAAAUAUUAAAUCCAUAUCACAGAUUCUGUAAUGGUUAUGAA